ACCAGAAACCCACCUAGACCUACACUUUCUAAUUCAAACUACCUCUCCUUCUCACCUUCGUUCAACUUCCUCAAUGCUAAACUCCAACAACAACUAUGCUCACUCCCUAGAUUAGCACUGCGCACAAGACCGGAAGAUUACAAACUGCUAAUGCUCUGGUAAGGACGAUUCCCACACUCUCUAUUGUUAGUUCUGCAUUGAUGGAACGGUUGUUCCAAUGAUGGUGAAGGGAGAGGGGUAUUGCUGCUCCGUCGAUCAAUGUGCAUGAUGGAGAAGAUGGCACGACUGUCAGAGAGGAGGACGCUUGGACGCAGGAGGUGUGACGCUAUGGGUAGACACUAGGGGCAUACUUCCAUUGACAACCUAGAACCACAACUGAGAUUUACUGGCUCUUGGCUGCAAGUUCCUCCCAUGGUUGUGGAAUGUUAGGACUCGAGACAAAACUUUCUUUCUAACGCUGGUUGUGGUCUUUGAAUCAAUCGAUGGGUUGUACUAAAAAAGAUUGGAUAGGACUAAAAUGGGGGAUCUCCGGUCUCUUUUUUUUUAUGAUGUCUGCCACCUGAGUUUGGGGAUUAAUAGUCCAUGAAUUGAGUAGCUGGUUCUAAUGUUUUAAUUGUGCUAAGGAUGUAUGCCAGUUUGUUUUCCCCGCGAGGCGUCCAGAAUUAAUUGUGCUGUGAUUUUGGUAACUGUUCCUCCCAAGACGUUUCCAUUGUGGUCUCUGAACACUGCAGCUACUUUGCCUAUUUUGGUUCCAUCUGAAAAGGCCGCAUCGAUAUUUAUCUUGAGCCAGCCCUAUGGUGGAGGUCUCCAUUUAACAGGUAAGGUUCGGGCGAGUUAACAGAAUUCUUGCAGAAGAAAAUGAAAAAAAAAAUGAAUUCUGUCACUUGGUGCCAAACGUCACGACCUAACGUUUAGUGCCAGAAGCUUCAUAAUGUGUGCCCAAAAUGUGCGCUAGUGGUGCUAAAUGCUGUUACCUGGUGUUUAGCGACAGGAGGCCAGUGAGUCCAUAAAUUGUCUCUGUUCAAGAGACGCUAAACGUCGAGCCUGGCGUUUAGCACUAGUAAUGCAUUUUUCAGAUAUUCAAGGAAGGCUUCAUUAGCUUUAGUUUUUAUAUUUAAUUAAAAUAAAACAAAAUCUUUUAGGGUUUGUAAUUUUAUUUUAUUUUAUUUUCAAAUCAAUUAGGAUUAGAUAUAAAAGGAGAAAAGAUUCAGCCCUUUGGCCUCUCUUCGCUUCUUCUUCCUCAUUCGAUACUUUGAUAUUUUUUACAAUUCUAGGUUUUUCUUUUUAGCCAUGAGCAACUAAACCUCCUCUAUUAAGGUUAGUAGUUUUGUU